rnacentral:rRNA from 1 species
GUACACUCCUACGGGAGGCAGCAGUGGGGAAUUUUGGACAAUGGGCGAAAGCCUGAUCCAGCCAUGCCGCGUGCAGGAUGAAGGCCUUCGGGUUGUAAACUGCUUUUGUACGGAACGAAACGGCCUUUUCUAAUAAAGAGGGCUAAUGACGGUACCGUAAGAAUAAGCACCGGCUAACUACGUGCCAGCAGCCGCGGUACUACGUAGGGUGCAAGCGUUAAUCGGAAUUACUGGGCGUAAAGCGUGCGCAGGCGGUUAUGUAAGACAGUUGUGAAAUCCCCGGGCUCAACCUGGGAACUGCAUCUGUGACUGCAUAGCUAGAGUACGGUAGAGGGGGAUGGAAUUCCGCGUGUAGCAGUGAAAUGCGUAGAUAUGCGGAGGAACACCGAUGGCGAAGGCAAUCCCCUGGACCUGUACUGACGCUCAUGCACGAAAGCGUGGGGAGCAAACAGGAUUAGAAACCCCUGUAGUCCCAUGAU